UUUGAACGGAACGAGCUUUUUUGAAACAUGAUUAGAGGGCGGUAGCUCAUUAGACUAAGUACCAAUUCUUUCAGUCACCAUCUUUGAUCUUGGUUUUAUAUAUUUUUACCUCGUAUUUUUUUUCUCUAAUUUAGUGUUAAAACUGUGAUCCGAGAAGAAUAUAAACAUCCAAUUAUAUUGGAAACUGUAAUUGCCCAAACAAUUUUUUUUUAGUCAAAACCAUCUACAUCAAUAUGUGGGUAACAUACUUGAUAACUUUCGUUAACGGAAUAUGUUAUUUCUAUAUACAUAUCGACUUACUCCUUGAAGGAUUUCCAUCACGGUUCGAAGUAACUUUACAUGGAUCAGUCAGUUACACCGCACCAGAAACCGUAGUAUACUUCGACCCUGUUGAUCCAAACGAGAGAUUUUCUGCUUAAUUCAAUCAUCUUUAAUAUUAAUUCUCCAGAAACUGUUUAUUUUAUAUUUGUUUGAAGAAUUUUUCAUUUUAAGUUCCAAGUUAUUUAAUUAAGCUAACUUUAUAUUAUAGUUUUUACCUAAAAAAAAGGAAUUUAGUUUUUCCGUUUGAGUUUUUUAAUACAUCACCAAAUACUAGAUUUGAAGAUAUUGAACCAAAGUGUCCACCUAAUAGAUCGUGAUCACAACAUAGCUAAUACAGAACGUGACUCAGCUGUCUUUGAAAAAUUCCGACGAUUGCAUAUUAGAAUUAGUCGAAUUGCCUGGUCUAAAAGAAGAUCGUUGUUGGUGCAUUUAAAAGGCCAAACACCCGAAUUUGGGGUCACAGACAUUAGACGAUGGAGUCAGACGACGUGCAUGUGCAAAAUCUAGGGCCAAUGGACUAUUCAAGGCAGUCGGCCAGUCGGACUGCUGUCAGGGCCGUGAAGUUCACUUUAAACUUUCAGGUGAUGCCCCGUGGCUCAUUCGCACAAGCCUCUCCCUCUCACUGGGUUAGAUGCAUACCGAAUGUGUCACACCAUGGAUAAAAUACGCCGCUAUAUUCAGAUUCACUUCUAAAUAUCUUCAAUUCUUCAUUCAUUAUCAAUUGUAAUGCUCAACAUUUCCACAUUUAUUACUUGAAUGUAUGAAUAAAAAUUUCUUUUAAAAA